rnacentral:tRNA from 1 species
AAUAUUAUAGUUUAAUUUAAAAUUUUUGAUUUGCAUUUAGAAGAUAAUUUUAGUAAUUUAAUAUUG